AGGCUGAAACUCGCCUAUAUGAAGUCGGAAUUGCUAGUAAUCGCAGAUCAGCAUGCUGCGGUGAAUACGUUCCCGGGCCUUGUACACACCGCCCGUCACACCAUGAGAGUCGAUAACACCCGAAGCCUGUAGUCUAACCAUAAGGAGGACGCAGUCGAAGGUGGGAUUGAUAAUUAGGGUGAAGUCGUAACAAGGUAAC
rnacentral:rRNA from 1 species